rnacentral:rRNA from 1 species
UGGGUAACCUGCCCUUAAGUGGGGGGAGUAACAUUUGGAAGCAGAUGCUAGUACCGCAUAAAUCCAAGAACCGCAUGGUCUUGGCUGAAAGAUGGCGUAAGCUAUCGCUUUUGGAUGGACCCGCGGCGUAUUAGCUAGUUGGUGAGGUAACGGCUCACCAAGGCAAUGAUACGUAGCCGAACUGAGAGGUUGAUCGGCCACAUUGGGACUGAGACACGGCCCAAACUCCUACGGGAGGCAGCAUG